GAGAUCUCUGCCUAUCUGAGGCCUUCUGAAGAUUGGAUGCUGAUGAAGGAAUAGUUUCAACACCAACACACCCUCCCACAUGCCUGUGCUACCAGAGCCAAGCUCUCAGCUCUGCAGCACUGGAUAUUGGCUUCCUGAGGAUGACGACCUGAGGGCUGGGCAGGAUGGUUCAUUUCUCUCCAAAAAAGAGGAAGAAAGCUGCUUGGAGAUCCAGCCUUAGUGAUGGUGCAGUAGGGUGGGUGUGCUUACAGCUCUCAGGAUUGCGGCCCAAGAAUGCUCUUAGCAGAGGCACCUUAGGGAAACAAAAGGUCUUUCAUACUUUAUUGCCCUCAGGGAAAAAUCUUACAGGAGGGCUACAGCACUGAUCACGGUGUAGAU